rnacentral:rRNA from 1 species
UACGUAGGGACCAAGCGUUGUUCGGAUUUACUGGGCGUAAAGGGCGCGUAGGCGGCAAUUCAAGUCAGCUGUGAAAUCUCUGGGCUUAACCCAGAACGGCCAGCUGAUACUGCUUUGCUAGAGUGCAGAAGGGGCAAUCGGAAUUCUUGGUGUAGCGGUGAAAUGCGUAGAUAUCAGGAGGAACACCGGUGGCGAAGGCGGAUCUCUGGGCCAUUACUGACGCUGAGGAGCGAAAGCGUGGGGAGCGAACAGG